rnacentral:tRNA from 1 species
GGCCUUAUAGUUGACAGACAACAUCAAACUGCAAAUUUGAAGGCGUAAUCUUACUAGGGCCU